UGCUAACAUUCAAGUUCCAUGGAAGACUCGAUUCUAUCCUGAAGAUUUACAGAAGGGUUAUGUCGGUUUACACUCCAUUUGAAAGCAGUGCUUAUGUCCGGCUUCACUUUGAUAUCCAUACUGUGGGGUGCCGAGGUGAAUAUUACUUUGCCUUAAGGAGGAACACCUCUGCACGAUGCUGCUUCCAAGGGGAACUUCGGCAUGAUAAAUUGCUUACUAGAAGCAGGAGCUGAUCCCAAUGUCAGAGACGAGGGUGGGAUGACACCCAUACAACUUGCAGCUCGACAUGGCAACCGUGCAGCCGUGGAGAUUCUUUCUCGAAAGACUUCAGAAAUAAAAAAUAUUCCAGGGAGUGUGGAUGGAAUCAAGGUGCAUGAGCAGGCUGAAUAUGGUGAUAUGCAGGAAUUUAAUAUGUCUUUC